UGGGGAAUAUUGCACAAUGGGCGCAAGCCUGAUGCAGCCAUGCCGCGUGUAUGAAGAAGGCCUUCGGGUUGUAAAGUACUUUCAGCGGGGAGGAAGGGAGUAAAGUUAAUACCUUUGCUCAUUGACGUUACCCGCAGAAGAAGCACCGGCUAACUCCGUGCCAGCAGCCGCGGUAAUACGGAGGGUGCAAGCGUUAAUCGGUAUUACUGGGCGUAAAGCGCACGCAGGCGGUUUGUUAAGUCAGAUGUGAAAUCCCCGGGCUCAACCUGGGAACUGCAUCUGAUACUGGCAAGCUUGAGUCUCGUAGAGGGGGGUAGAAUUCCAGGUGUAGCGGUGAAAUGCGUAGAGAUCUGGAGGAAUACCGGUGGCGAAGGCGGCCCCCUGGACGAAGACUGACGCUCAGGUGCGAAAGCGUGGGGAGCAAACAGG
rnacentral:rRNA from 1 species